GCACAAGUAUGGCAGGGGCAGGCUGGGAGGCCCUUUCUGUGCUUUGCUCUGCUCACCAGGCUGAGGCAAGAAUGCAGAGACACCCUGUCCUGUUCUCGGGCUUUCCUGCCCCCGCAGCCAUGAAACCAACGGCCAUGUUCUAAGCUCCAAAUAUUCCUUCUAGAAACAUCUUCAGGAUGCUCUGUUUCUGAGAAGAAAACAACAACCACCAGGGAACGGAGGUUGUACCAUCCUCCUGAGCAAAGCAUUCAGAUGCCAGCAGAUCAAGGAGGAGAUGAGAGAUCUCUGAAUGCAAACAGCAGCCAUUUACCAUGACUUUUAUGCCCUGAUCCUGUGCCUAGAGCUUCAUUCACAAGAGACAUGCUUGCCUGCACACAGUAGUCACUGUGCCUCACACACAAUUCAUUCAGCUGUGAGCGGAUUGCCUGGGGGCCCAGGCCUGUCAUCCCAACGAUUCUGGAGACUGAGAUAGGAGAAUUGUGCAGUCCAAGGCCAGCCUUGGCUACAGAGUGAAUUCAAGGGCAGCCUGAAGCAUUUAGUGAGAACCUGCCUGAAACUAAAGGCACAACGAGUGUAAGUACAUGAAGUAGUGCCCAGGGCUUGCCGAGGG
rnacentral:lncRNA from 1 species